GGAGUUUUCAUCUCAUGCAAUUUUGACAUCAAACGAAACACAUCAUGGUUCAAGACAGAAUCUCAGUGCUAAAAUUGAAAGCAGCCAAUACAGGGUUCUAAAGUUGGAAAGAGUAGCUUUUGGUGUCUCAUGUUUGUAAAUAACUCCUUCCUCCCAUCUGAUCUGAAACAAUGCGCAUCCUUUGCCCCCCUUUUGAUGAGAAAAAUACGAACCCUAAAAUCUCAGCUCCACAAGGGUCCCCGUCCACAAUGGCCACCGGCGGCGGCGCGAACGAGACGGCCGUCGGCGCCGGGGAGGAGAACGCGAGCGCUUCCAGGAUCCCCACCCGCAGGUUCUUCGUGGCGCUGCACGUGGGCGCCGGCUUCCACGCUCCGGCGAACGAGAAGGCGUACCGCAGGGCCAUGAAGCGCGCCUGCCUAGCCGCUGCGGCCGUUCUCCGCGAGGGCACUGGCACAAGCCUGGACGCCGUUGCUGCUGCCAUUCAAGUUUUGGAGGAUGAUCCCGUCACAAAUGCUGGUCGUGGUUCAAAUUUGACUGAGAGUGGUCACGUGGAAUGCGAUGCAAGCAUCAUGGAUGGAAGUACUGGUUCUUUUGGAGCUGUUGGAGCUAUUAGAGAUGUAAAGAAUCCAAUCCAAGUCGCUUUGCACUUGGCAAAGGAACAAAUGGCGGGACCGUCAUUGCUUGGUCGGAUACCCCCCAUGUUUCUGGUUGGUGAGGGAGCAUAUCAAUGGGCAAAAUCUAAAGGAAUGGACCUAGUUGAAUCUACAUCGGAGGCUAAUAGUUGGUUGGUGACUGAGAAUGCAAGAGCGCAGUGGGUGAAAUACACAUCAUUGCUUGUUAAUACCAAAAAAUCACUAUAUCAUAGUACUGGUUCUGGUUCAGAACAUCAUUCAGUUCAAUUGGAAGCACAAGGAACUGAAUCUGAGAAUAUUGCUGAUGCAAAGAACAUAUUUACAGAGUCAUUCAUGGGAGACAAUACAGAUCACAUAACGGAUACUGUUGGGGUUAUUUGUGUAGAUAGCUACGGAAAUGUAGCAUCAGGUGCAUCUAGUGGUGGUAUUGCCCUGAAGGUAGAUGGCCGGGUUGGGUUAGCAGCUAUGUUUGGCUCUGGGUGCUGGGCCUCGUCCAAAGGACCCUUUGGUACACCAUUCGUAGUUGCUUGUUGUGCAACUGGAGCUGGAGAACACUUGAUUAGAGGAUUUGCUGCCCGUGAAAGUUGCAUCUCAUCGUCGUUGUAUGGUCACAAUCUGGUCCUGCUUCUGCGUGCACUAAAGUUCUCCGCUCUGUGGUUCAAAGCAGCAGCAAGAUGUCUCAUGAUACAGGCGCUGGGUUGUUGCUAGUUCAGGCUGAUGUUGUAAAGGGAGGGGAUUUGUCUGAACUGGAAGCCGCUGAGCUGGUUGCUGCCUAUUCCUCCCCAUCGUUUGGUGUUGGUUAUUUCGGAAGCAAUAUGAAUAAUCCUAAGGUUGUGGUGCUUAAAGCACCGGAAGGGCCAUGCAAAACGACGGUCAACCAGUUCGCUACCUGCGUGAAGUUUGAUAGAGAAUCAUCUGAACAAUGAAGACGACUCAGUUCAUGCAAAAGCACAUGUAAUAUUUUACAUUAUGAUGAAUCCUUGAAAUGUUUUUUUGGAUUGUUUGAACACAUUUGAAUUUGUAGAAAAUUCGAGAAGAAACAAUUAUUUUUAGAUGAAAUCUAUGAAUUUUUAUA